rnacentral:rRNA from 1 species
AGUGAACGCUGGCGGUAGGCCUAACACAUGCAAGUCGAACGGCAGCACAGUAAGAGCUUGCUCUUACGGGUGGCGAGUGGCGGACGGGUGAGGAAUACAUCGGAAUCUACUUUUUCGUGGGGGAUAACGUAGGGAAACUUACGCUAAUACCGCAUACGACCUACGGGUGAAAGCAGGGGAUCUUCGGGCCUUGCGCGAUUGAAUGGGCCGAUGUCGGAUUAGCUAGUUGGCGGGGUAAAGGCCCACCAAGGCGACGAUCCGUAGCUGGUCUGAGAGGAUGAUCAGCCACACUGGAACUGAGACACGGUCCAGACUCCUACGGGAGGCAGCAGUGGGGAAUAUUGGACAAUGGGCGCAAGCCUGAUCCAGCCAUACCGCGUGGGUGAAGAAGGCCUUCGGGUUGUAAAGCCCUUUUGUUGGGAAAGAAAAGCAGCAGGUUAAUACCCCGCUGUUCUGACGGUACCCAAAGAAUAAGCACCGGCUAACUUCGUG